GUCUAUGGCAGGGCCACCCUGAACACACCCAACCUCGUCUGAUCUCGAAAGCUAAGCAGGAUCAGGCCUGGUUAGUACUUGGAAGGGAGACAGAGAAUAAUAGAGGCACAGACA
rnacentral:rRNA from 1 species